AAAUUACUCCCUCCAAUCCAUAUUACUUGUCUCAAAUUUGUAUACAUAUGUAUGUAUCUACCACUAACGUGUCCACAUACAUCUAUAUCUAGACAAAUCUAAGACAAGUAAUAUGGAUCGAAGGGAGUACAAA
rfam:Triticum aestivum genome assembly, contig: Triticum_aestivum_CS42_TGACv1_scaffold_435097_5DL